GGAGAACUGAGUACGUCUAGAGAAUUUGGAGAUUUUUAUGGUUGUGAAAUGGAGAGUUUUUGGUGGUAUGAAGUAGGUGAAAGUACUUGGGAAUUGUGUUUUUUCUGCAGUUGUAUUUGUAUGAAGUAGGUGAAAGUACUUCUCUAAGUGUUCCACUCUCGGGUGGAUUUUCAACAUUUACUUUGAGAUUGGUAGUCUAUCUCACAGUGUUUGUCCUCUUCUAUAUUUUUGUUUGUUUGUAGCUUUUCCACUUCAAAAAAGAACGCUGAGAUUUGCUGAUCUUCCAAAAAUUAUGUACCAUGAUGUAGGAAUUCUUUC
rnacentral:misc_RNA from 1 species